rnacentral:rRNA from 1 species
GUGGGGAAUUUUGGACAAUGGGCGCAAGCCUGAUCCAGCCAUGCCGCGUGAGUGAUGAAGGCCUUAGGGUUGUAAAGCUCUUUCAGUGGGGACGAUAAUGACGGUACCCACAGAAGAAGCCCCGGCUAACUUCGUGCCAGCAGCCGCGGUAAUACGAAGGGGGCUAGCGUUGUUCGGAUUUACUGGGCGUAAAGCGCACGUAGGCGGAUCGUUAAGUCGGGGGUGAAAUCCUGGAGCUCAACUCCAGAACUGCCUUCGAUACUGGCGAUCUUGAGUCCGGAAGAGGUGAGUGGAACUCCUAGUGUAGAGGUGGAAUUCGUAGAUAUUAGGAAGAACACCAGUGGCGAAGGCGGCUCACUGGUCCGGUACUGACGCUGAGGUGCGAAAGCGUGGGGAGCAAACAGGAUUAGAUACCCCUGUAGUCC